GAGGCCACCCCAGUCCAUGGCUUGCUGGUGCCCUUCAUUCCACCGGAAUCUGUAGAGGCAGAAACCAGAUUUCAGUGUAAUGAAGCCCAUCAGACAUGGAAUUCAACUCCUCACCUUCG
rnacentral:pre_miRNA from 15 species